rnacentral:rRNA from 1 species
CCGGAUUUAUUAGGUUUAAAGGGUGCGUAGGCGGUAUUUUAAGUCAGUGGUGAAAGAUUGUAGCUCAACUAUGAUAAGCCAUAGAAACUGGAAUACUUGAGUGCAGAUGAGGUAGGCGGAAUGUGUUGUGUAGCGGUGAAAUGCAUAGAUAUAACACAGAACACCAAUUGCGAAGGCAGCUUACUAAAGUGUAACUGACGCUGAGGCACGAAAGCGUGGGGAUCGAACAGGAUUAGAUACCCUGGUAGUCCACGCUGUAAACGAUGUUCACUCGUUGUUGGCGAUAAACAGUCAGCGACUAAGCGAAAGCGAUAAGUGAACCACCUGGGGAGUACGGCGGCAACGCUGAAACUCAAAGGAAUUGACGGGGGCCCGCACAAGCGGAGGAACAUGUGGUUUAAUUCGAUGAUACACGAGGAACCUUACCUGGGCUAGAAAAAGAUUGACCGGCUUGGAAACAGGCUUUCCCUUCGGGGCAAUCUAUUAGGUGCUGCAUGGUUGUCGUCAGCUCGUGCCGUGAGGUGUCGGGUUAAGUCCCAUAACGAGCGCAACCCUCAUUGUUAGUUACCAUCAAGUAAAGUUGGGGACUCUAACGAGACUGCCCGGCGUAAGCCGUGAAGGAAGGUGGGGAUGACGUCAAAUCAGCACGGUCCUUUAUGUCCACGGGCUACACACGUGUUACCAUGGGCCAAUACAGAGGUCAGCAAUACCGGUAGGGUGGAGCAAAUCCUAAAAGCUGGUCCUAGUUCGGAUCGGGAGUCUGCAACUCGACUCCGUGAAGCUGGAUCGGUAGUAUCCGCAGAUCAUC